AGCUGCCUCCUGCUCACCUUGAGUCCUCCAGGGCAGGAAUGAGGAAUACCUUUAACCAAGACAGCUGCCUGGCAGCUGGGACAGGUACAGGAAAUUGGCUUCCACGGAAGUGCCGGGACACGUGGGAACAAUGACCAUAUCAGCACUCGCUGUACUCAACCCCAAACUCUCGGCUUCUCCGCUGAAAAGAAGGUUUGAGCUCUGGCAUCAGGGCCAAAGGUUCCAGGUUCUAAGUCCACCCCUGGCGUUAGCCUAGGGUGCCAUCUUGAAGGAGUUGUGUGACUCUCCGGAACUUGGCACCUGCGUAUUCGCCCUACAGUGGCCUUCGCCUCUCAGUUUCUGUCUGCCCCUCCCCCCAGGAUGAGCGUGCCGAGCUGGACUUUAACCACCCGUGUUAUUUCUAACCUCCAGGCCACCCAGAGCCUGUGGGUGUCACGUGACUUCCCACGCUGAGCACACCCCCAAAGAAAGACAAGGCAGGCCUUGUCAGAGACGGAAGCUUUCUCAAAAUCAUGUUGUAAGGAAUGGUGGGCCAGCAAGGCAGCUCAGAGGGUAAGGCUGAAGCCGAAGCCGAGGCUGGUGACCUGAGCUCACUCCCCAGGACCUACACGGUGGGAGGAGGGAACUGAGUCCCGUGAGUUGUCCUCUGACCCCCACACACAGGAUGCGGCACGUCCACCUCCAUCCUCCAAAAUAAAGAAAUGUACCGAU